AUUUUCUGAGUGUUGUCUAAGAAAGCUCUGGGAAGGAAAAUGGGAUUAAAAUUGGUUUGUGAGGAUAGGGAAGGAGUUAAGGAGCUACCUUCAUGGGAAUGGCCCUGGCAGGAGGGACGGAUGGAUCUGGGCUAGCCCUUGGCUGUGGGCAAAGGCUGGUGUGUCACUCAUUGCAAAUAGUUCUGAAUUAUCCAGCCUCCAUCCCUGUUCUGUACUGGAUGAAACAUUUUGGCUUGUGGUGGAGAGCUCAUAGGAGGUGCCUUAAUGGCUGCUUCUGAUAUUAAAAUCAAUGAGUCCCAAAAUUGCUACCCAAACUGAGAAAACCAGCCUUGUAGCUGGCAUUUACUGCCUAAAGAUGUACUGGAGCAUGUUUAAGCACAGACUCUGCAUUAUCAGACCUUUGGAGAUUACUCCUAGCUUCUUUCCUCUGUUAAAUAUAGCUUGGCUCUGCUGCCUUUCACAGGAAUAAAACUUGCUAUUACUUCUAGGAAUCAUCCAUUAAGUAUGUUUAAAAUGUUGUUCAGCCACGUGUCUGCACUGUUGUGUAAUCCACAGAGCAUUCCCUGUGCACGAUCAUCAUUUCCUGGCUGGUUUAUGUAGGAAAUAACCUUCACUGCUUCACCACUUUGUAUGUCUUUUAACAGACCUCAGCAUGUGGCAGGUUCUCUUACCUUGAGCUAUGGAGUUUUGCCCUUGGCUUGGAAGCAUGGAGUGGAGUGGACAUGGCCAUGGACGAGGUGGUCCAGGUCAGAGAGAGGGAGAUGGUCUCACCUGGUGGUUUCUCUGGCUGGAGGUGCUGUCUGAUGGAGAUGCACGGUCACUUUGCACAGGUCCCUCUGGCUGGGUGAUGCUGGUGGGAUUGGGGUGCACAUGGUGGCUGGAUUUCAGCACAGAAAGGGCAGGAUAGGGGGAGCAGCUCAGCAUUCCCACUGGAGGAAGGAUGCUCUGCUCAUCUCCUGAGGAGAACCCCUGAAGGAAGGAGGAAUUGCAUGUAUCCAGUGCUAAAUGCCGUAUGACUCAAGGAAAGAAAUAAUCACACCUCUUUAUUGCAUAGAUUUGUGUUGGGGCCUGACAACCCCCACCAGAUGCUCAUCUUCUCAGUUGCUUUAUUGUAUUCUGGGACAUCCUCAUAAUUGCCAUAAGUGGGAGAUGAUUCCCCAGCAUCUGGCAUGUGUUAAUACUGAUCCAGAGUGUUUAUCAAUGCACUUAAGGAAAGCAAGUACAUGCUUGGUGUGCAGGGAGAGGCAGCCUGGCAAAGUCUAAAGCAUCAUCAUUUGAUCCUAUUUUCUCCUUUGAAUUGCUGCUGAAUGACUUGAGUCCUUGCUGCUGGACCCUGCUGCAGUCUGAACAGUGAGGAUGCAUUGCCCAGAUGUCAUCCCCAUUUCUGGUAAUGGGUAGGAAAGUGCUGCUCUGUUUUCCUCCCCCGAUUGUAUUUCAGGGGCUGCUGAAAUGCCGUUUAUCUCUCAGGUCUUUAGAAGUGAAUUUAGCAGUUAAGACACAACAGGAAUCUUCCAAUAAACUAAAACUACUUCUGUUUCAACUUUUGGGUUAGGUUCAAAGCAUCUCCUGCUCUCUUUGAGGCUUCAGAUACCCAGGAGCACAGCUGCUUGGACACCAUUCAGCUCAGCAUCUUUUAACAGAGAAGGGAGCACUGCUUGGAGGUCCAUGGAGGCAGCGAAGUCUCAGGCAGGCACACGAGGAGUGGGAAGGACGUCUCUAACCACUGGAUGCUGCCUCCUGCAAAGACCAUGGUGGCGUGUGGCUGUCAGCACACAGCAGACUCCAGGCUCGCUGCCUUUGGUCCAGCACCAAAUCAAAGCCUCCUCUCUUUGGGAUGACCUUUCCCAUGGCACAUGGAGUGCAGAAAUGUCCUGCUUUUACCACCAAAGGAGCUCUUUGCAGGUGCCCUGGGCCCUCAUCGGUUCUACAAGGUAGACUUGGCUACUGAGUGUGUAAGUAGGGAAGAAGGAUGGUGUGGAUGGCUGUGAGAAACCUCCCUUAACUCUGGACUAGCAUCCACUGGAUGGGAAGGAGAAGACUUUGUGCUGUUGCAUGGAGCCACCACAGCUCCAAGCAAGGUCAUGGUGUAUACCUGUGCCUACCUCUUGGUGGAGAGCUAUUUGUUUGAUAUAGUGCUAUAUAAAUAGCAGAUACUGAUAUGAGAGGGCUGGUGCCCCACAACACCCCUGCACUGGGCAGAGCUCUCUUACUGCUAUAAGCAACCUGUUAGUUAGCUCAAUGGCUUGCUUUCCUAUACAGCUGAAAUAUUUGUUUAGCGAGUGGUUUUAUUGCCUGAGCAGUAAGGGAAGAUGGGGGAGGCUGAGCUGAACUGAUUUAAUUUGAUUCCCUGCGUGACUGGCAGCUUUACAUCUGUUUAUAUUUUAUAGGUUUCAAUCAGGUCGUGCUGCCAGAGAUCACAUCUCUGCAGGUUCUGCCGGCUUGGGCUGUUGAGUGGAUGCAGCAGGAGCAUUCAUGAGUGGCGUGUGAUGAACCAUAAACAACGAGGAGUGUCCCAGGGAAGAACUGGGUGACCAUGGAGGAGCAGGUUGACUGUCCAGCUUUACAGGGACCUCCUGCCCUACCACAGGAGAUGCCUUCCUCAGCUAAAUGACAGCCCCUGGUGUUGGGUUGGGAAAAGCUGCUGACUACAGGGCCCGGGAGCUCCUGUUUCAGGGAGAACAGGUUGCAAAUGAGCCAGGAAAACUUGUACUCUAGGACUUGAUCCUCUUGGGAUGUAUCCUGAAAUGGAUGGGAUGCUGGGCUGGGAUGCGAGACUGGGAACCAGAAGGCUGACCCACCUUCUGGGUUUUCCACAUGUACAUCUUGCUCUUUCUGUGCCUAUCCAUGGAGGCCUUGGGGCAGCUUGGAAAUGUGACACGAAGGUCUCCUUUUGCUACCUCCCUGAAUGGGAAACAGCUUCCUCAUGUGCAUCGGGAUGCUGUGACAGUGCAGGAGCUGGUUGUGUCCUCCAAGAUCCUGGGAAGGUGCUGGAGACAAAAGACCCAGGUUAAGUUUCUUUGUUGAUUCCAUGCCUUGUCAUCUUAGGAAUGGGAAACACAGGUGCUCAGAGAGGGGUGAGGGCAGACCAAGACUGUCUCCAAG